UACGAAGGGGACUAGCGUUGUUCGGAUUUACUGGGCGUAAAGCGCGCGUAGGCGGAUCGCUAAGUCAGGGGUGAAAUCCCAGGGCUCAACCCUGGAACUGCCUUUGAUACUGACGAUCUGGAGAUCGGGAGAGGUUGGUGGAAUUCCCGGUGUAGAGGUGAAAUUCGUAGAUAUCGGGAGGAACACCGGUGGCGAAGGCGGCGAUCUGGGUAGAUACUGACGCUGAGGUGCGAAAGCGUGGGGAGCAAACAGG
rnacentral:rRNA from 1 species